GAUGAACGCUAGCUACAGGCUUAACACAUGCAAGUCGAGGGGCAGCGGUAUCGAAAGCUUGCUUUUUCUAGGCGUCGACCGGCGCACGGGUGAGUAACGCGUAUCCAACCUGCCCACCACUUGGGGAUAACCUUGCGAAAGUAAGACUAAUACCCAAUGAUAUCUCAAGAAGACAUCUGAAUGAGAUUAAAGAUUUAUCGGUGAUGGAUGGGGAUGCGUCUGAUUAGCUUGUUGGCGGGGUAACGGCCCACCAAGGCGACGAUCAGUAGGGGUUCUGAGAGGAAGGUCCCCCACAUUGGAACUGAGACACGGUCCAAACUCCUACGGGAGGCAGCAGUGAGGAAUAUUGGUCAAUGGGCGAGAGCCUGAACCAGCCAAGUAGCGUGCAGGAUGACGGCCCUAUGGGUUGUAAACUGCUUUUAUAAGGGAAUAAAGUGAGCCUCGUGAGGCUUUUUGCAUGUACCUUAUGAAUAAGGACCGGCUAAUUCCGUGCCAGCCGCCGCCGUAA
rnacentral:rRNA from 1 species